GCCUGGGUGGCUCAGUCGGUUGAGCGUCCGACUUCAGCUCAGGUCACGAUCUCGCGGUCCGUGAGUUCGAGCCCCGCAUCGGGCU
rfam:Felis catus isolate Cinnamon breed Abyssinian chromosome B4, whole genome shotgun sequence.